GUGCUUCCUUCAGCAGUACAUAUACUAAAAUUGAGAUGAUACAGAGAAGAUUAGUAUAACCUCUUUGUAAAGAUGACAUACAAAUUCAUGAAGCAUUACAUAUUUUU
ensembl:snRNA U6 U6 spliceosomal RNA